CGAUUGGUUGUGGUUUGUUUGAGGUCAGACGCUGCAAGAUUAAACCAACUCUGAACAUUCGAUGAUACUUCACAAACUCUCUAUCAACACUGCUACCAUGUUGUCCUCAUGAGAAAAAAGAAGCAGAAGUAGUUGAAGAGAAAAUCUAUAUUUUUUUAAGAGUACAAACAUGCAGUAAAUUCACCAACAAAACAGACUCAAAAAGAAGAUUAUAACUAUUCAUUUUCAGUUUCAGGAGUCUGAUCAUUCAGUUGUAUUUAGCAGGUAGAGUGCAGUUGUUUCCCUGCUCACGGAGGGUUUUACGGCAGCACUAAUGGCUCCGGUGAAGAAAGACAGCAGGCAGAGAUGGAUGCGACACUGUAACAUGAGCCAGCUCUCAUCCCAAGCUAAUGUGAAUGAACGUUGGGCUUCUUAACGGAAAGGCCUUGUGCAGCGCUGCCAGAUACGUAUUUAGGGAUUGUUAAACCAUUGUUAGCGGCGGACUCGGGCAGACAGGUGUUUAAAUUGCUCUCCAAAGACAAUCUGUGCAAGGUGUCACUUUGAACCCCGUCAUGCUUUGUGUACAAAUUCCCUCAAAGCUCCUCAGUCACCCCUCAACAAUCCAGAAGCCCCAAUCCCCUUCCCGGGGCCCCACCCCUCACCCCACUCCCCCCUGGCCAAUCAACACAUCCCAGAGCCCCGUAACAGAUGGCUGCAGGGGUCAGCAGGGGUUAGCUGGGGCAGGGAGGGGGGUUGGCUAAGGUUAGGCCGGGGCACAGGGGUGUUUGAGAUUGUUGUGACAUGGCCUGUCUGCCUGUCAGUGUGCAGGUGGAUGAGGAGCAUGUGGCCUCAAAUCCCCAACCCCC